GGAUAUUACUUUUACCUGCCUACUGAACAAAAGGUGUUUGUCAGUAGUAAGGCAUACUUUUUGAAAAAAAAAAUUCUUUAGUGAAGGAAUAAGUACCAUUAAAAUCAAACUUGAUGAAGUUUGACAGGUUGAAGAAUCGACACCAAUGAUUGAAUCUGAACUAGAUUUGAUAAGAUUAAACCCAGAGUCCAAUGAAUAAACAUCCUUAAGGC
rnacentral:lncRNA from 1 species